rnacentral:rRNA from 1 species
UAAUAGCUCACUGGUCUAGUGAUUUUGCGCGGAAAAUAUAACGGGGCUAAAGUAAGUACCGAAGCUGUAGACUUGCGCACAACUUAGAUUAUUUAAGUUUAGAAUAUGAGAAACUAAGUUAUAUUUUUACUGAUUUUUAUAGAGUAAAGAUAGAAAUAAAACUUAGUAAAAUCAGUAAAAAUAUUCUUAGGCUAAAGUUAAGUAGUUUAAGUUGUGUGCAAGUGGUAGGAGAGCGUUCUAUNUGCGUCGAAGGUAUACCGGUAAGGAGUGCUGGAGCGAAUAGAAGUGAGCAUGCAGGCAUGAGUAGCGAUAAUUAAUGUGAGAAUCAUUAACGCCGUAAACCCAAGGUUUCCUACGCGAUGCUCGUCAUCGUAGGGUUAGUCGGGUCCUAAGUCGAGUCCNNAAGGGUAGNCGAUGGCAAAUUGGUUAAUAUUCCAAUACCAACAUUAGUGUGCGAUGGAAGGACGCUUAGGGCUAAGGGGGCUAGCGGAUGGAAGUGCUAGUCUAAGGUCGUAGGAGGUUAUACAGGCAAAUCCGUAUAACAAUACUCCGAGAACUGAAAGGCUUUUUGAAGUCUUCGGAUGGAUAGAAGAACCCCUGAUGCCGUCGAGCCAAGAAAAGUUUCUAAGUUUAGCUAAUGUUGCCCGUACCGUAAACCGACACAGGUGGGUGGGAUGAGUAUUCUAAGGCGCGUGGAAGAACUCUCUUUAAGGAACUCUGCAAAAUAGCACCGUAUCUUCGGUAUAAGGUGUGGUUAGCUUUGUAUUAGGAUUUACUCCGAAAGCAAGGAAACUUACAACAAAGAGUCCCUCCCGACUGUUUACCAAAAACACAGCACUCUGCUAACUCGUAAGAGGAUGUAUAGGGUGUGACGCCUGCCCGGUGCUCGAAGGUUAAUUGAUGGGGUUAGCAUUAGCGAAGCUCUUGAUCGAAGCCCG